rnacentral:rRNA from 1 species
GACAGAGGGGUGCAAACGUUGUUCGGAAUUACUGGGCGUAAAGCGCGUGUAGGCUGCUCAGAAAGUUGGAUGUGAAAGCCCUGGGCUUAACCUAGGAAGUGCAUUCAAAACUACUGAGCUGGAGUCCGUGGAGAGGUAAGGCGGAAUUCUCGGUGAGAGGUGAAAUUCGUAGAUAUCGAGAGGAACAGCCGGUGGCGAAGGCGGCCUUCUGGACAGUGACUGACGCUGAGAACGCAAAGCGUGGGGAGCAAACAGG